ensembl:snRNA U6 U6 spliceosomal RNA
AUGCUUGCUUUGGCAGCAUGUAUUCUAAACUUGAAAUAAUACAGAAAAGAUUAGUUUGGCCUUGUGUAGGGAUAACCUGCAAAUUCACAAAGAAUUCCAUAUUUUU